AACGAACGCUGGCGGCAUGCCUAACACAUGCAAGUCGAACGAGACCUUCGGGUCUAGUGGCGCACGGGUGCGUAACGCGUGGGAAUCUGCCCUGGGGUGCGGAAUAACUCGGAGAAAUCCGUGCUAAUACCGCAUAAUGUCUUCGGACCAAGAUUUAUUGCCCUGGGAUGAGCCCGCGUAGGAUUAGCUUGUUGGUGAGGUAAAGGCUCACCAAGGCGACGAUCCUUAGCUGGUCUGAGAGGAUGAUCAGCCACACUGGGACUGAGACACGGCCCAGACUCCUACGGGAGGCAGCAGUGGGGAAUAUUGGACAAUGGGCGAAAGCCUGAUCCAGCAAUGCCGCGUGAGUGAUGAAGGCCUUAGGGUUGUAAAGCUCUUUUGCCAGGGAAGAUGAUGACUGUACCUGGAGAAUAAGCCCCGGCUAACUUCGUGCCAGCAGCCGCGGUAAU
rnacentral:rRNA from 1 species